GUCGAACGGACUCAUAUUGAAACCUAGUGAUUUAUGAGUUAGUGGCGGACGGGUGAGUAACGCGUGGAUAACCUGCCGUAUACCGGGGGAUAACACUUAGAAAUAGGUGCUAAUACCGCAUAAGCGCACGGCUCCGCAUGGGGCAGUGUGAAAAACUCCGGUGGUAUACGAUGGAUCCGCGUCUGAUUAGCUAGUUGGCGGGGUAACGGCCCACCAAGGCAGCGAUCAGUAGCCGGCCUGAGAGGGUGGACGGCCACAUUGGGACUGAGACACGGCCCAAACUCCUACGGGAGGCAGCAGUGGGGAAUAUUGCACAAUGGGGGAAACCCUGAUGCAGCGACGCCGCGUGAGUGAAGAAGUAUCUCGGUACGUAAAGCUCUAUCAGCAGGGAAGAAAAUGACGGUACCUGACUAAGAAGCCCCGGCUAACUACGUGCCAGCAGCCGCGGUAAUACGUAGGGGCAAGCGUUAUCCGGAUUUACUGGGUGUAAAGGGAGCGUAGACGGCAGCACAAGUCUGGAGUGAAAUCCCGGGGCUUAACCCCGGAACUGCUUUGGAAACUGUGCGGCUGGAGUGCAGGAGGGGUAAGCGGAAUUCCUAGUGUAGCGGUGAAAUGCGUAGAUAUUAGGAGGAACACCGGUGGCGAAGGCGGCUUACUGGACUGUAACUGACGUUGAGGCUCGAAAGCGUGGGGAGCAAACAGGAUUAGAUACCCUGGUAGUCCACGCCGUAAACGAUGAUUACUAGGUGUCGGGGGACCAAGGUCCUCCGGUGCCGGCGCAAACGCAUUAAGUAAUCCACCUGGGGAGUACGUUCGCA
rnacentral:rRNA from 1 species